CCUAGUACCAUUUGCAAAGUAAAGGUAACAAGAAGCUAAAAUAUCACAACCUAAAAUCUAAAAACAAGGCUAGCCUUCAUAUUCCCCUUCAGCAAAUUUGUCCUCUGGGUAGAAGACAGCAACAACCUGAUUGCCGCCAAAUUUCCUACCAUGCAAACCCAGCCUUGCUUUGUUAGAACCAUCAGUGUCAUCAUACUCCAGGAAUACCUUCCCAACACCAGGACCCAUCUCCCCAUUCGGGCCCGGCCGAGGGAUGAUGACAUUCACAAGAUUGCCAUAUUUUCCGCCUUCAGUCCUCAUGUCUUCCAAUAUAUCUUCAUAGUCCUCAUCCUCUUUCAGUUCCUCAGGAUUCACCACCUGGGUCAAGCAUAACACCUUCGUGGGAAGGGGUCCGGUAAGGGUUGGAAGGGAUCCUGCUUGGUACACCAGCCUCUGUAAUGCCACUUGCUGUUGGGCCUGCAAUAGUACAUUCUCCUGUUCUGGUCUAGGCUGGGUAGUGCCCUGAUU
rnacentral:misc_RNA from 1 species